rnacentral:rRNA from 1 species
GACGAACGCUGGCGGCGUGCUUAACACAUGCAAGUCGAACGGAAAGGCCCUGCUUUUGUGGGGUGCUCGAGUGGCGAACGGGUGAGUAACACGCGAGUAACCUGCCCCUGACUUUGGGAUAACUUCAGGAAACUGGGGCUAAUACCGGAUAGGAGCUCCUGCUGCAUGGUGGGGGUUGGAAAGUUUCGGCGGUUGGGGAUGGACUCGCGGCUUAUCAGCUUGUUGGUGGGGUAGUGGCUUACCAAGGCUUUGACGGGUAGCCGGCCUGAGAGGGUGACCGGCCACAUUGGGACUGAGAUACGGCCCAGACUCCUACGGGAGGCAGCAGUGGGGAAUAUUGCACAAUGGGCGGAAGCCUGAUGCAGCAACGCCGCGUGCGGGAUGACGGCCUUCGGGUUGUAAACCGCUUUCGCCUGUGACGAAGCGUGAGUGACGGUAAUGGGUAAAGAAGCACCGGCUAACUACGUG